AAGGAAGAGAAAGCAGAGGCAUGCGCGAGGAGCUGACUGCAAUCUGUUGGCCUCGCAUGACCGUCCUGUUCCUUGCUCUACGCUAACCAUCUAUCAUCUUGCAAAUAAACCCGUCCUAUCCGUAACGAUAUCAUAAAUCACAGGUAAAGAUGUAGCGAAGCAGAACUGUCGCACGAAACACGUUGACGCAUGAGUUCUCGUGGCACUGGUCAUCCAAUCUGAUGACGCACAAGGAGAACUGGCUUCGGAUGUAGCCCUCCGCCCCAAAGCUACUCAAAAAUCCCAGCGAAUUCUUGGAUGUGGGCACAUGCACUACCAACAUGGUCACUUCUGCAAGAAGGACACCUGCCCAAACAAGCACCUCGGAAAAUGCGUGAAAGGGGAAUGUGUGUGCCUCCACGCGGUUACAACGAAGACGACCGCAGCUACAACAACCAAGAAAAUGCGGAAGCGUGCACUGAAGAAGAUAUUACUGUGACAGAUGAUUCCGAAAAAAUAGCCGGAUGCCCGCCUUGAAAAACCAUUUCUAAAGCUGCUCCUUCUUGUAUAUUGCUGCAGUCUACUGUUAGCGAUGCUUGCCUGUA